UAUAAGGAAACCUCCCAACACUUACAUAAUCUAUCAUCAAGUCUAUAAUAGCAAAUAACAAAGUGAUAAUUUCUUGUAUAAAAAGCCUUUUUGCAAAAGAACUGGUAAUAAAAAUGAAAACCAUAAUUUUCUUUGUCUUCGUCUUAGUCGGAGCUUUGGCUUUGACUAAAGAAUCAGUAGAUAAGUUGGAACCAAUUAGCAAAGAAUGUCGAGAACUGAACGGAAUCUCCGAAGACAUUAUCCUUAAAGUCAGAAGAGGAGAAGCAGUUAACGAACCAAAAUUGAAAAACCAUAUUUUGUGUGUUUCCAAGAAGACCGGCCUUGCUACCGAAACGGGUGAGACUAACGUAGAAAUUUUGAGAACCAAAUUACGCAAAGUAAGUGAGAGUGACAAUGAAGUGAACAACAUCAUUCAAAAAUGUGUCGUCAAGAAAAUCACUCCCGAAGAAACAGCUUUCGAAAUAUUCGCCUGUUUGAGAAAAAUCAAACCGAAUUUCUCUCCAGUCAAUUAAUCACCUGUGCAAUUACUCCAGCCAAUAAAAUGUUAUCUUAUGGUACUUAUUCCUUCAAACGUCUGGAUAUGAAUUUCGUGUUUUUUGAAAUUCUGGUGAUCACCUGUGGUGCUUUUCAGAUUCCAAUCAGCACAUAGGAUGAAGAUCGGGUCAACCUUAUGAAAGUAUGUAGAGAAUCAUUUGUAAACUUCAUAAGUUCAUUUAAUACGCAAAAGGCCAUAAACGAAGGAAUGUCAGCAGAAGAGAAAAUACUUGAAGAGUGCAUGUUCAAAGUCAAUUUUAUAUAAACAAAAUAUCUUAAUUUAGUUAUGAAGCUUGUUUCGACAUACCUGUUUGCAUAAGAACAAACACAUAACUGUUUUAGAAAUUAUUAAAUUAAAUGUAAUUUUAAAAUUAUACAUAUAGGUAUUGCAAUAAGAAAGAUUAAUCAUCAGAAAGCACCAUAUUAUUCUUAUCGUAUUUCCAAUUUUUAUACAACUAAGUACAUAGUAGAUCAAUAUG